rnacentral:piRNA from 1 species
UCUGUGACAGACCUGAGCUCGUGCCUGGAGU